CUAUCCGCUGCAAAAUAAUCACAUCAUUCCCCAAAUCAAUAGUCACAAGGAAAAGAAAACCAUUAAGUCGAAGGCAAAAGAACCUUUGAUUCACGAAAAUCAUGACUCUCAUAUCACCAAAGAUAUUUAGAAUUAUCUGAAGAAAGAAUAUGCUAGAGAUGAAAGAAUACGAGGCAUGAAAGUAUUAAAUUUAAUGAGGGAAUUUGGAUUACAGAAAAUGAAAGAGCCAGAAACAAUCAAGGAAUACUCUGAGAGGAUUGCUUGAUAUUGUCAACAAGGCAUAGGAAUAAAGGAGGCUUAUGAGGAAAGAUGACAUGGUUAAAGGACUAUUAAUAGCUAGCCACAAAACUCAAAGAAAGGGUAUGUUUUUGAAAAUUACCCACCUUGUACGCACUGUGGAAAAAAUGGACAUCCUCCUUAUAAAUGUUGGAAAAGACCAUAUGCAUAGUUAAAGAUCUGCAAACAACUUGUUCAUUAAGCUCUGAUUUGCAACAGGAAAUUUAAAAAUGAUAAAACUGUUAGAUAUUUUAAUUAAUUAAGUUCAUUCUUUCCUAGUUUUAAGGGUAUAUGAUUGCUAUUUCCAUGUUACUGGAAACGUGUGACUUAGUAGGUCAAUUUUAAUUUAUUUUAUGGCUUACUGGUUGAGAUAAUGUAUGGUGUGUAUUGCCUUUAAGGUUGUUGUUUUUUUCAAUUUAAUGAGAACUGCACUACCUCCCAAA